rnacentral:rRNA from 1 species
UGAGGAAUUUUGCGCAAUGGGCGAAAGCCUGACGCAGCGACGCCGCGUGGGUGAAGAAGGUCUUCGGAUCGUAAAGCUCUGUCGGGUGGGAAGAAGUUGUAUUCAGUUAAUACCUGGGUACAUUGACGGUACCACCGAAGGAAGCACCGGCUAACUCCGUGCCAGCAGCCGCGGUAAUACGGAGGGUGCAAGCGUUGUUCGGAAUUACUGGGCGUAAAGGGCGCGUAGGCGGCUAAUCAAGUCAGAUGUGAAAGUUCACGGCUUAACCGUGGAAGUGCAUCUGAAACUGGUUAGCUAGAGUACUGGAGGGGGAAGUGGAAUUCCCGGUGUAGAGGUGAAAUUCGUAGAUAUCGGGAGGAAUACCGGUGGCGAAGGCGACUUCCUGGACAGAUACUGACGCUGAGGCGCGAAAGCGUGGGGAGCAAACAGG